rnacentral:rRNA from 1 species
AUGCCACCACCACCCGCCACAGUGACGGUGGUGUCGACGACGAGUACGCCACCACCACCGCAACCUGCCACGGCCACGGUGUCGACAACGACGAUUACGCUGCAGUGUUCGGCUUCGCGGCGUUGGCGCGCCUGUUGGAGAAGCGGAAGGAGUGCAUAUGCAUCAAGAUCUUACCGGAUACCUCCAGUUUCUCCUACACGCGCGGUCAUCACUCUGCCAUCCGCAUGCAUCUCACACAUCGACCGUCAUCUCCGAGACCUUCCGCCUCAGUCUCCCAGGUGUACGCUGGUUCGUCAUGGGCGACGACAAGUCGACAACACGGUCUUCCUCCCAGACAACCUCCUCGCCAUCCCCUACUACAUCGUGCAUGGGGCAUGGCGGAGCUGGGCGUGCCGACACUCGGGCUUCCACGAGUACGGCGUGUAUGGUGACCUCCUGGGCCUCCUCGCCGCCCACCAGGUGGCACCGCUGGUGUCGCUGACUCGCUGCACCACCUCGACGUAG